CCAUGGCAGGGGGGUUGGAACCCGAUGAUCUUUGAGGUCCCUUCCAACCCAAACCAUUCUAUGAUUCUAUGAUUCUAUAACUCAAAUCUGUAUCUAAGAAAUGGGAGACCAAGAGCAGAUUCCCACACUGGAGGGAGAUCAAACCCGUAUGUCCCACGGGGUGUUCUCUAACCCCUUUCUGCUUAAGAUGUUCCACUGUGCACUCAUGUGCAUAAAGCCCAACAGGGAAACAAAACUCCCCCUCAUUUAUCAUGGCACUUAACCUGCGGCUGAGGAGGAACUGAGUUCCAGCCCUUCUUCUGGGGAUAUUUCCUGUCUGUGUACUAUGUAUUUACUCUGCUUACCUAAGGUAUCAGGUGAUUGAUUUUUUGAGAGCACUGCUCUCCUCUGUGUGCCCUCGGUCCCAGCAUAUCUCACCUGUUGCACAGCCAUCCCAGAGUCAGUGGAAGAUUCUCCCAGGUACCAUUUCAGAAUCAGCUGUGCUGGUUUAAUUGCGCAAAGCCAUAAGGAGGAACAUUCCUGCUCCCUCUACGUCUGUUCUGGGGCUGCUGGGAGGCUCCCUCAGGCCAGUUCAUCUCACUGGAAUGGGCAGGAUGCCAUCUUCCACUUGUUUGGGUUUUUGUUUUUUUUUCCCUUUCUUUCCUUCUGAGAUAGCUUUCUGCCAUUUCAGUGAUUUCAGAUGACUCAGUGAGUGGCCCAGCAGGCGCAGGGUGCAGCAGCAAAAGGCAGACUUCCCCUUUUGACAGCUGUGAACUCACCACAAGCUUGAAGAAUGACUUGCCACCUGGAGGCUAGGACAGUUAGUUCUAAGGGAUGCAGUGGCAUGUCUGUUGGAGCUCAAGGGGCAUGAAUUAAAGAAGCGUUCCAGCAUUGCUGAAGGCUGCACCCUGGCAGCUGAACCGUAAGUUAUCUACCUCUUCGGGGUAGGGAUCCAGAGGUUAAGAAUUGGAUGCUACUACGUCGUGCCUAUUGUGUUAGCCAACGGCACAUGAGGGAGCCUUGAGCACACUAGCCCAAGGGGUCAUCGAGGCUCAGGGGAGAAGCUACAGACAAACCUUUGUUUCUUACUGGAAAAAGAGAUGGUGUUUUUAUAUGACCUAGCUUAAGUAAUAGUUGUGAGAUCAUAGCUGAGGGGUGUGCUCAAAUAUGAUUUCAUUUAAUAGAUCCAUCAGAAAAGAGCGAGCUAACUAGCCCCAUUUUCCUGGAUAUUUUUUAAUCCAUUUUUCUUCAUACUGUUCAUCGAUCUGUUCAACUGCCCUAAAUGCAUAAUUAGAUAUUUCCCUGGUGUAAAAAAAAAAA